rnacentral:lncRNA from 1 species
AUUCGGUGUUUCGACAUGUUUGGAAGAGUAAUAAUGAGUUCCAAAAGUGUUGGAAUAGUUUUAGCGUUGUUCGACGCGAAAAGAAAUCGAAACAGAUCGAAAAACAACAUUCUGGAGCUGCUGUACCGGUACAAGGGUGAUGGUUGUACCGGUACAACCAUCGCAGCCAGGCUGCGCAGCUCUCGGGUUCGAAGGCUUCAGGCGCUGUACCGGUACAAGGCUGGCUUGUACCGGUACAAGCUCUGCGAAACAGAUAAACCCGAGGCUCGGUUUGCGCUCGGUUUAAGGGCCUGUACCGGUACAAGGCCCCGUGUACCGGUACAAGGGCG